GAAUUUUAUAUAAUUUUUAUAAGAAAAAUAAUUAUUUAAAGGAUAUUUAUAAAAUUAUAUUUUAUUAACUUUUAUAAAAAUGAGAAUACAUAAAUUUAUGAAUAAUAGAUUAAUUUUAAGUAUAAAAAUUAAAUUAGAAUUAAUUACCUUAGGGAUAACAGCGUAAAAUUUUUAGAGAGAUCAUAUUUAUAAAAAUGUUUGC
rnacentral:rRNA from 1 species